AUGUACUUCUGGUCCAUCGAAGGCACGGAGGAGGCCCUGGGCGACCUUUGCCUCGUCGACUGCCUCGACAGUCGCACCUACGAACGCGACCACACGAAGAUGUUCGCUUGCUAGGUCUGGGUUUGGGAUGUCACGCACAUCCCAACCAGACGCACCCUGUGGGUGACCAAGAGGGAUGUCGGGCGGGUGGUGGAGAUGCUUGGCUACUCUCCACCGGAUCGCAAGCUGGCCCCUCCACCGAACGUCAAGCGCUUCGACCUGCUGAUCCACGUUGACCGCGUCAAGGAUUGGGCGCCCUCCUACUCGCCGCGCUCCUCCCACUCUGGCUAG
rnacentral:rRNA from 1 species